UUGGAGGUACGUCUCGGAUCUCUGCAUAGGGCACGGAAAAACCGCUCCAAGACCCGACCCUUGACCCGGCCCUUGCAGAUUUCUUUUGAUGAACAGUGCUGAAAACCCUCUAGCUUUAGUUAGUUAUAGAUUUAAAAAGGGUGGAAAAUUCAUACUUAAUCACUGAUCCGAACUUCCAUACCAGACUUUUUCUUUUCCCUCUCUUACUAUUCUGUAUUGGUAAUUCUGAUAUGUAUUAACCUUCAUCCUAUCCGACAUGAGACUGAAAUUUGUGUUGUUUUCUUUUGGCAGCUUGAACUUCAUGUAAAUCAUAUGCUGGGGAAGGACCAAUUCCUAUGGCUUGUGUGUGUCUAAUACUUCUGCUAUGCAGCCAGCGAUUGCAUUUGCUAUCAUAGAGCAACUUUAUGAGGUGCAGUGGUGUUAUGGGAAGCUGUAGGAGAACUCAAGCCUCCAUCAUCUUGUAUGGUAUAUUUUUAAUUACAAAAUACUAUGUUAAGAUCUUCCUGAAAUGGUGCCAAAAUGAUUCAUAAACUUGAUUUUCAGUAAUCUUAAUUGCAACAGGUUGUAGUUUUUUCCGUGUAAAACAAUUGCUUACUCAUAUAUUUUUGUUUUGCCUCUCUUGCACAA